CCAACAUUUUCUUUACUUUUACUUUAACUUUUCCCGUUGAUACCAGCCCUCAGGCUGCAUGUGCAUGGAAAAGGAAAGCACAUGUCAGCGAGAAAAACAAGAAAGUCAGAGAAAACCAACAAGCAUGUAGAAUUUCCUUCAUUUCAGGAGGAAAUUCCAGCACCCUGGAAUGUGCCCUUUAUGUAGGUGGUACCCAUUCUUUUUGACGCCAAGGGCAUUUCUCAUGGAGAAAUUCUGAACAGCUAAGAGAGGGGUUGGGAGACUAGAGAGGUUGUAAGAACCAUUAAGAGAAAGUCAGAACCUAGUCAACCCGUGAUGUAAAUACAUGCAGGGAACAGGGACGUUAGUAACAUCUGUCUUUUCUCCUUUUUAAAACAACACCCAGGGUUACAGCUACCUGAAGAUAGACUCUAACAACAGCCAGUAAUAGAAAAAGAGCCCUGGCUACGGAAGAUUCUGGGAGGUAGAAGAGACCCUGAAAAAUAAAGAAAGUGCCUGCCCAAACUGCUGCCCCUACUUAGGCAGCACCCCCCAUGGCCAGGCUCAACUUGGUCAGGCCUACAGACAUAAAGAGGAACUUCUAAUGUUUCCAGAGAAGCACAGGAAGGGACAGACUCCCCUAAACUGUGCAGCCAGGAAGUGGCCUCCUCUACACACGUCAAAGGGAGGUAUUCCAUGGCCCUCUCCCCAAGGACACAGAUGAAGGACAGAGAGGAGAAUCAUAUGAUUUGCCUGCUUUGUCAAAGGGAGUCUAGCAGUCCCCGCUAACUGGAGCAAGAACCUGUCAGGGGGACAACUAUGGAGAAAAGAGCCCUGGAACGUGGCCUCUAGGAAAUAUCAUCACUCCUGUCCAAGAAGGAGGGUGCCAGGAGGCAGAUGGUAUAGAUAGAGAUUUGGAACUGGUUUCACCUCUCUUCCACCCUGUGUCCAUUGAAGAUGCUGAUAAUUGAUCAUUUUCACAAGGUCCUGAUGGUCUCAGACUCAACAUCAGAAUUUUCAACACAAAUCUCCAGGCAUUACCUGCAAUGGACCUCUUUCACUCCUGUCUCUGCAUUUACUACUGAGAAGAACCAACUAAUACACAUGCAGGGUUUAGAACUCAACCCUAUGUAAGAUGUGGAUCCUCUGAUGUAUGUAACAUGACUGAUCCAAUAGCUGGCACAAAGUAGGCCUCCAGUAGAUGUUAGUUGCUUCUCCUUUUGCAUCAUUUAGAACAUGCAUCUGGCUGCUAGUUAAGAGAGACUCAACACAAAUAAGAGAACAUUCGCACAAAUAAGAUAAUUGACAGUUUAAAGUGGUAAGAUGGCUUCACAGUGUCGUAGAAGUCCCAGCCUUCUAGCUGUUCCUGCCAAAUAGUCAUGUGCGCAAAGCCAUCUUGUACCCUCUAGACCAGGUAAGCUGCCACCUAAUGAUCCCAGUUGACACUACGUGGAACAGAAUUGCUCAGUCAAGCCUUGCUCAACUUCCUGAUUCAUA
rnacentral:lncRNA from 1 species